UUAGACAGCGCUUUUUUUAGCCUUAGACAGCGCUUUAAAGCGCUGUCUAAACCUCCGCUGCUAAAGGUUUAGACAACGCUUUUUUAAAUCUUAAAAGCGCUGUCUAAGCCCCCCCCCCCCUAGACAGCGCUUUGGCCAAAAGCGCUUUAUAAGACCCUCUUAUUUUAAAUUUUUUAGGUAUACCUUAGACAGCGCUUUUGAAAAGC
rnacentral:lncRNA from 1 species